UCCCUGGUGCUCCAGCAGUUAAGACUCUGCACUCCCAAUGCAAGGGGCCCAGGUUCAAUCCUUGGUCAGGGAA
rnacentral:tRNA from 1 species